rnacentral:rRNA from 1 species
AUUGAACGCUGGCGGCAUGCCUUACACAUGCAAGUCGAACGGUAACGGGCCUUCGGGUGCCGACGAGUGGCGAACGGGUGAGUAAUACAUCGGAACGUGCCCGAUCGUGGGGGAUAACGAGGCGAAAGCUUUGCUAAUACCGCAUACGAUCUACGGAUGAAAGCGGGGGACCGCAAGGCCUUGCCCGGCCGGAGCGGCCGAUGGCAGAUUAGGUAGUUGGUGGGAUAAAAGCUUACCAAGCCGACGAUCUGUAGCUGGUCUGAGAGGAUGAUCAGCCACACUGGGACUGAGACACGGCCCAGACUCCUACGGGAGGCAGCAGUGGGGAAUUUUGGACAAUGGGCGCAAGCCUGAUCCAGCCAUGCCGCGUGCAGGAUGAAGGCCUUCGGGUUGUAAACUGCUUUUGUACGGAACGAAAAGCCUUCUUUUAAUACAGGAGGGUCAUGACGGUACCGUAAGAAUAAGCACCGGCUAACUACGUG